rnacentral:lncRNA from 1 species
CUUAGACCUAAGCUGAUUAAUGAGUUUCUAGCUCUGCCUCUUGCCACAGACCAUACACACCCAUUACCAAUGAGCAAUAGAUUCCGGUAACCCCCUCCUGUCUACCAGAGUCCUCUCCCUGUAACCCAGAAUGUUUGCACGUCCCACCCGCGCUUUGCCCAGCUCCUCACUGUCCUUGGACUUCCCUGGAGAACGUAGAACUGAUGUGCACUGUUGGCUCCUGUUGUGCUGCACAGGCCUCCGUACAAACGGAACUCAAGAGCAUACACCACUCAUCUCUGCUAGUGGAUCACCUCUGAACGCUGUCUGCGCUGGGCUGAGGAUGCUCAUUACUGAAGUUCAAGGUUCUUACUGAUGUCACUGGAAAAUUUGUCUCUGCUCUGAGAAAUCACAGGGGUUAGUCUUUGUGACUCGUGAGGUGACUACACUAACACCUGGUGUUGAUAAGAUGGCAUGAAAACAGCCAGCUCUGGAAGUCGUGCGGAGUGAUGGCUCAGAAGUGAAUAGUGCUUGCUGCUCUUUCCAAGGACCCGAGAUGGGUUACCAGCACCCAUGUUCUCCAGAUCACAGUCUUCGCUAACUCCAGCUCCAGGGCUUCUAACCCCCUCUUCUGGCCUCCAUGGUACCUUUACUCAUGUGCCUGACAUCCUCCCACACAUACUUAAUGAAAAAUUAGAAUUAAAUCUUUAAUAAUAAUAAUAAAGAGUCCCGGAAGAGUUUCACAUUCUUUUCAGUGCUACUUAUUAUAUUCUGAAGAAUUAUUUGGGGGGCUUAAUUAAAAUAACAAUGUGAGGCAGAAUCAUAACACUUUCAAAAUAUUUAUACUGAAUACGUAUCUUUUUUUAACUUAGGAAUGUGUGUGUAUCUCUCAUGUGUAUUUAG